rnacentral:rRNA from 1 species
AUUGAACGCUGGCGGCCUGCCUAACACAUGCAAGUCGAGCGAGUGGCUGACGGGUGAGUAAUGUAUGGGGACUGCCCGAUAGAGGGGGAUAACUACUGGACACGGUUGCUACUACCGCAUACUAUCGGAUAACCCAUAUGGGAUUAGCUAUGAGGUGGGGUGAAGGCUCACCUAGGCGACGAUCUCUAGCUGGUCUGAGAGGAUGAUCAGCCACACUGUGACUGAGACACGGCCCAGACUCCUACGGAGGCAGCAGUGGGGAAUAUGGCACAAUGGGCGCAAGCAUGAUGCAGCCAUGCGGCGUGUAUGAAGAAGGCCUUGGGGUUGUAAAGUACUUUCAGCGGGGAGGCGUUACCCGCAGAAGAAGCACCGGCUAACUCCGUGCCAGCAGCCGCGGUAAUUC